CCCGGCAUGGGUGGGGAAGGUACCUGUGCAGGGUUAAGGACAGUGAGCAUUGGGAAGGCGAGUCCUUGAAUUCCAGACUCGCAUUUAUCUCUGGGGUCAUCAGCGCUGACUGUGUAGACAGGGAUGGCCCAGGCAGGUGGGGCUCCGGGAUGCUCUGUGCCAGGCACAGUGUGGCUGUAGGAUGAGCAAGACAUACAUGGCCCCUGGCCUCAUGGAAUUUUCAGGGCAGGAGCCGAGACAGACAUGAAUCAAGCAACCACAGGCACCUAUGGAGAGAAGACCGUGGAUAGUGCCUCCCCACCUUGCCAUGAUGCUCAUCUCCUGUGUGGUGCAGAAGGGAUGCCCCAACUUCCCAGCACCCUGAUAAAGGGAGGACGCAGAAGGCCACUGAGAGCUCUGGCCAGUCACUUGCCAGUCAGGACCCUGGACAGGGAUGCAAUGACCCUCCACUUCCAGCCAGACCUCAAGGGAUUCACUGUUAUGGAUCUUGGUCAGCCUCGCUUCUCUGGAGCUUCCAAACCAAUCCUUGCCCAAGUCAGAAUGACCCUGGUUCCACCGGCUGCAUAGGCAGAUUUUCGCUAUGUGAUGCAAGAUGUCCACCAGCUGCUACUGCCUCAUCUUUAUAGUUCAUGGCCUCAGAAGAGAGAGUUUCCAGAGAGUUCUGGCAAAAGUCUCAGGGAAGACUCCUAUUGGCCUGGCUUGGAUCAUGAGUUUAUCCUCGAGCCAAGUGCCGUGCCUGCGGGGUGGAUGCUCUGGUUGGCCAGGCCCGGUUCUGGAGCUGCCCUGCCUGGGCCUGUGGGGAGAGCACCCCGCCUGAGCCACACGGACGGGGUAGGAUUAAUGGGGGGAGACGGUGUCUGCCAAAAGCAGUCUGGCCUGACAGACAGGUGUCCCCAACGCCUGGCCUUCAUCAGGGUUGCACCUCCGUCUGUAGAGAAGAUGCUUGCUAUUUGAAUACAGAAUUGGCUACGGCUGGACUACAAACUGAUAGCCACGCAGGGCGGUUGGGCCCUGCUCGGGCCUGUGUGAGGCUCCUACCGUCUAGUCACCCUCAGGCUAAGGUGGUGGCGAGUGGGCGGUUGCCAUCCAAGCCUGCACCCGGGGCCCAGGCUUUCCCCGACUGUUGUGCAGUGCAAACAAACAGCCCUGACCUGGGAGGAGACCCCAGUGGAGCAGCCCUUUCCCAGUGCAGGUGGCUUGAGAUUAAAUACUAAGUGGCCCUUGUCAGCAUUUCGGGAUGCCCUCAACGUCCUUUUUUCGGGCCAUCCUUGCACAGCCCCCGACUCCCCUAAUUCCCAUAUAGUGGCCUGGGCCUCUACCGCCCUGGGAAAAGCGUAGUUCCUUUGUCCUCACUCUCUGGCCAGGUCCCAGGCCUGGCUUGCAGCCUCUCUGCUGAGAGUGGCGUCUCUUGGCUACGGGGGGCAUGCUUGCGAUUUGGGGGUGCUUGCUGUGCUGAGGGCUGGAUCAGAGAGAGUCAGAGGACAGGGGUGUGCUGGAAGGCAGCAUUUGGGGACGAUCUUAUCCCAGAUUGGGUUUCUGGGCAGAUAGGCAGAGAGAUGGGGAGUCUGUCCUUCCCAAAGCCUCCAAGGAGGCAACCCUCCCAUCUGACCUGCGUGGUGGGGCCUCUGCUGGAGCCCACCUCGAUCUCACCUGCCUUCCCUUCCCUCAUGGCCCCAGGCUGGACAAUACUGUUCCUUCCUCUGGGCCUUUGUCUAUGCUGUUCCCCCUCCUGGCAUGCCCUCUCCUGCCCACCGAUCAGUAGGCAUCCUUCGAAAUCCCACUCACUCAAGUAGCCACUGCACACAAGUGGGAAUUUGACCUACGGCCGUUCCUAGUAUGUGAAGAUGCGUCGCAGCAUGUGCUCCUUCCAGCAGCCAGCGCCGCUGGCUCGAGCCGCAGGGCUUCUGUGCAGCCUGGAGAGGCUGUGCUGUACAAGCUCCAGAGAGUCAACGUCCUCCCACACCCGAACCAGCCCUCAGCCAAUGACCUACUGGCCCAGCGCCCUCGCUCCCUGAGUGGGAUAACUCCGAGGUGUGGUUUACACAGUUUCCCAGAGUCUCCCUGCGGGAUGAAAGUCCAGGUGCCCUGGGUGGUAGCUUGCUUGUUGACAUACACUUCAGUGGCCUCCUCCUUGGCCUCUCUGGCUUCUGAACUCCCACAUGAGUUUUCUAGCAUCAUCCGCCAGUAUGGGAUAAAGUAUGGCACUAAAUUGUGCCCCCCAGCUCCCCCUGUAACUGUAUUUGGAGACAAGGCCUCUAGGGAGAUAAUUAAGGUUAAGUGAGGCCAUAAGAGUGAGACCAUAAGGACGCCUGGGGGGCUCAGUGGUUGAGCGCCUGCCUUCGGCUCAGGGCUUGAUCCUGGGGUCCCGGGAUCGAGUCCCACGUCGGGCUCCCUGCAUGGAGCCUGCUUCUCCCUCUGCCUGUGUCUCUGCCUCUCUCUCUCUGUAUCUCUCAUGAAUAAAUAAAUAAAAUCUUUA